UACGUAGGGGGCAAGCGUUGUUCGGAAUUACUGGGCGUAAAGGGCGCGUAGGCGGCACAGCAAGUCGGGAGUGAAAGCCCGGGGCUCAACCCCGGAACGGCUUUCGAAACUGCUGAGCUAGAGUACAGAAGGGGCAACCGGAAUUCCCAGUGUAGCGGUGAAAUGCGUAGAUAUUGGGAAGAACACCUGAGGCGAAGGCGGGUUGCUGGGCUGACACUGACGCUGAUGCGCGAAAGCCAGGGGAGCGAACGGG
rnacentral:rRNA from 1 species